rnacentral:rRNA from 1 species
UGGGGAAUCAUGGUCAAUGGGCGAAAGCCUGAACCUGCGACGCCGCGUGAGUGAUGACGGCCUUCGGGUUGUAAAGCUCUAUCUUCAGGGACGAUAAUGACGGUACCUGAGGAGGAAGCCACGGCUAACUACGUGCCAGCAGCCGCGGUAAUACGUAGGGUGCGAGCGUUAAUCGGAAUUACUGGGCGUAAAGCGUGCGCAGGCGGUUGUGUAAGUCAGAUGUGAAAUCCCCGGGCUCAACCUGGGAACUGCAUUUGAGACUGCACGGCUAGAGUGUGGCAGAGGGGGGUAGAAUUCCACGUGUAGCAGUGAAAUGCGUAGAGAUGUGGAGGAAUACCGAUGGCGAAGGCAGCCCCCUGGGCCCUUACUGACGCUCAUGCACGAAAGCGUGGGGAGCAAACA